rnacentral:sRNA from 1 species
AUCUCUUACCCAUGUCUUUUGAGUACCUUCGUUUCCUCGGCGGGUCCGCCCGCCGAUUGGACAAACUUAAACCCUUUGUAAUUGAAAUCAGCGUCUGAAAAAACUUAAUAGUUACAACUUUUAACAACGGAUCUCUUGGUUCUGGCAUCGAUGAAGAACGCAGCGAAAUGCGAUAAGUAGUGUGAAUUGCAGAAUUCAGUGAAUCAUCGAAUCUUUGAACGCACAUUGCGCCCCUUGGUAUUCCAUGGGGCAUGCCUGUUCGAGCGUCAUUUGUACCUUCAAGCUCUGCUUGGUGUUGGGUGUUUGUCUCGCCUUUGCGUGUAGACUCGCCUUAAAACAAUUGGCAGCCGGCGUAUUGAUUUCGGAGCGCAGUACAUCUCGCGCUUUGCACUCAUAACGACGACGUCCAAAAAGUACUUUUUACACUC